AGAGAGAGACAUGCGCGCAUAUCAAUAAGCGGAGGAAAAGAAACUAACAAGGAUUCCCUUAGUAACGGCGAGUGAAGCGGGAAGAGCUCAAAUUUGAAAUCUUCAAGGUUCUACCUUGACGAAUUGUAGUUUAUAGAAGUGUUUUCUGUUAGUAGGAGUGGCAAAAGUUCUUUGGAAUAGGACAUCAUAGAGGGUGAGAAUCCCGUAUUUGGUCAUUCCUCCUAGCUUUGUGAUACACUUUCAACGAGUCGGAUUGUUUGGGAAUGCAGUCCAAAAUGGGUGGUAAAUUUCAUCUAAAGCUAAAUAUUGGCGAGAGACCGAUAGCGAACAAGUACCGUGAGGGAAAGAUGAAAAGAACUUUGAAAAGAGAGUUAAACAGUACGUGAAAUUGUCAAAAGGGAAGCGUUUGACACCAGUGUUGUUUUUCCGAAAAUCAAUUACGAAUGUUUUAUUUUUGAGGAGUUAUGACUUCAUCGGCUUGCUCCUUUCUUUAUGAAACUUUCUUAAUGCACUUUUCGGUUAACAAGUCUACAUCAAUUUCUUUUGUUGUAAAAGGGUAUGAGGAAGGUGGCUUUUCUUUUCGGAGAAAGUGUUUAUAGCCUUGUACCUCUGCAAUCGGAGAGAUUGAGGUCUGCAGCGUAGAUCCUUCGGGGUUAGAUACAUUUGUGCUAAGUUAUAGCUUUUCAUAGACAACUUGUUGACUAUGUUUAGUCUUGUAGCUUACUCGCCUGACUGCUAUUUUACCUACGCUUAGGAUGUUGAUAGUCACAGCGUGUAC
rnacentral:rRNA from 1 species